rfam:Neotoma lepida isolate 417 scaffold_49620, whole genome shotgun sequence.
UGCUGUCCACAGUGUAUUUGAUAAGCUGACACAGGACAGGAACUUCUUUCACUGUUGUGUCAGUUUAUCAAACCCAUACCUGNGUGAC